ensembl:lncRNA novel transcript
GCUGGAGCUGAUGAUGCCACACAGGUGCUCCAGCUCGCCCUGCCCGCUUCACCGCUUUCCCUGCGGGAAAGCCCCAGGCAUUCCUGCCCAGUAGUCAGGGCUUUGCUGCAGCCCCGGGGGUGGGGGUAGGGGUGGGGACAGCGAAUGCGUUUGUCCACAGACCUUGCUCAGGUCACGUUCUGAGCCUGCUUCUCACUCCUGCCCCCUCCCACCCUCCUGGUUCUGCCAUGGACAAGCUGAAGUCUCUCUGAGACCAGGGGACCCGCAUGGCCCAGCCACCCCACCCCACCAUCUCCCAGGCAUGUGAGAAAAUAUCACAUUCUCUGUGUUUUGGAGAUUUCUUCUAAAUGUAUUUUCCAACUAUCAUUUCAUAGCAAAUCAGCGAGAAAAAAGAAAAUAGACUCUACUUAGAAAUGAAACUCAACUAAAGGUAAAAGUUGUCAGGAACAUCUCCAAGAAAGCCAGAGUCAGCCUCUAAACUUUGCAUCAAGAACGCAAUGGCUUCCCUGAGGGCCCAGGGACGCGUGGCAGCUGUGAGGCAGCCCCUUCUCUGCUGUCGAGGAACUGGACACUUCUCCUGUCCCUUCCCACAAGGUAUAAUAUUAGGCAGAAACCCAAUAUAAAAAGAAAAGCAGAGUUGUUGUAGAUUCAUCGAGGGUUGGCGACCUGGUUCCAAUGAGCCAUCUCCCUGUUCCGACAGGGGCUUCCUGGAGCUCCUGCAACCCCAGGCAUUAGUUCCGGUGCAGUUCUAGGAUCAGAUCAAUUCACUCGACAACAAGAGAAACAAAUGGAGAUUCC